UCCGUAGGUGAACCUGCGGAAGGAUCAUUAUUGAUACUUGAUUAAUAGGCAGAUUUACAAGAAGAAGACGGCAAGACAAGAGGAUUACGUCUUCUUCUCGUGGUUUGACUAUUCGUCCGCGUGCAAUAUGUUGCCCGGAUCAUCCCUGUUUAUACGCACUUCUGUUUCCUCGGCGGGUUCGCCCGCCGAUGGACUAUCUGUUUAACGCUUUUAAUACACGUAGUGUUGUCUGAGCUUUAUGCAAUAAAAUCAAAACUUUCAACAACGGAUCUCUUGGUUCUGGCAUCGAUGAAGAACGCAGCAAAAUGCGAUAAGUAGUGUGAAUUGCAGAAUUCAGUGAAUCAUCGAAUUUUUGAACGCACAUUGCGCCCUUUGGUAUUCCGAAGGGCAUGCCUGUUCGAGCGUCAUUUCACCCAUCAAGCUACACUUGGUGUUGGGCGUUUGUCCCGCCAUUGCGCGUGGACUCGUCUCAAAGUAAUCGGCGGCCCGUAUUUGGCGUGUAGCACAGCAGACUUGUUGCUGCAACGCCCAAGAACGCGCCUGCCGUAAGGUAUCAUUUUGUUUUCGACCUCGGAUCAGGUAGGGAUACCCGCUGAACUU
rnacentral:misc_RNA from 1 species